GGUUAGUGGCGCACGGGUGCGUAACGCGUGGGAAUCUGCCCUUUGCUACGGAAUAACUGUGAGAAAUUACUGCUAAUACCGUAUGAUGUCGAAAGACCAAAGAUUUAUCGGCAAAGGAUGAGCCCGCGUAGGAUUAGCUUGUUGGUGAGGUAAAAGCUCACCAAGGCGACGAUCCUUAGCUGGUCUGAGAGGAUGAUCAGCCACACUGGGACUGAGACACGGCCCAGACUCCUACGGGAGGCAGCAGUGGGGAAUAUUGGACAAUGGGCGAAAGCCUGAUCCAGCAAUGCCGCGUGAGUGAUGAAGGCCUUAGGGUUGUAAAGCUCUUUUACCCGGGAUGAUAAUGACAGUACCGGGAGAAUGAGCUCCGGCUAACUCCGUGCCAGCAGCCGCGGUAAUACGGAGGGAGCUAGCGUUGUUCGGAAUUACUGGGCGUAAAGAGUACGUAGGCGGUGAUUCAAGUCAGAGGUGAAAGCCUGGAGCUCAACUCCAGAACUGCCUUUGAAA
rnacentral:rRNA from 1 species